CGAACCUUUUAGCGCGCGACGACUUCUUCCUCAUUCAGAGGUGAGAUGAAGCCCGCCGACAGUGUCGGGCAGCUUCCUGUCGCCAUAAAAAGGCCGCAUGGAGUCCGUGGCUGCCGCCGUGACCCAUUCAUUACAUAGAGGAACUGGCCAGGUGUUUCUAUUUGGAACCAAUCGAUGGCGAGCUUGAACCUGGAGCUGGGGCUACUGUGUCUACUUGACAACUAGCAGGAACUACUAGUCUGGUAGGAAGGCUUCCACAGCCUGGCACCCCACACACUCCAUGAACUCUGCCAAAUUGGGAGAACAUCCUGGAAGAAAACCAACGCUUCCCAUCCAACCUGAUGGAGCUUGAGAGGCGAUGCAAAGAGGAAGCUGGCCAAAGAUAGGUGUGCCAAGCUGGUGGCAUCGUGUUCAAAAAGACUUGAGGCUGUAAUCGCUGCCAAAAGUCCUCAGUGUUUGGCCCUUCCUCCAUCCCUAAGUACCAUCCAUCCACAGGGGGAGGCUGCACCAGCUGUACCCCAAUAGGGGCUCUGCUUUCUGGGGAGGCAACUCAAGACAAGAGGCAGCGUGAGAGGUCACAUGGUUCAUGUACUCAACAGAACAAGGUUUGUAAAUUCAUCAAAACGUCACCGUGGAAUUAUCGAGUCUGUUUAGCUGAUUGGAGAGCUAGCUUCCACAGCUAGUGGGUCCAUGACGAUGACUUCUGUUUUGUUUGAUCAGCCGUUUUACUGCCGUGUCUCAGGCAUCAUUUGGAAACAAUUAAGAUGCUUAAGGAAAUGCUGACAGAGCAUGAGGAAGCAGACUAUGGAAGAGGAAGAGGAGCAGGGAAAUCUGGAAAUGGUGCUGAAAAUACAAGGGUCCUUUAAAGACAUGACAGGAAGUGAGGAGUAAAACCCACAGGUAAAUCAUGCUUUUGUAUUGUUUUGUUCUAUUUUGAGUACAUCAGCAGCACACAUUCCUCUUUUCUUCUUCAGACAAGCUGACACCACUUUUUGUACUCAUAUGUUAAGUCUGUAUCUUUAACAUUCACCCAUGCAUGCUUGACAGAUCCUCACACACAAAUAAUAAUACCUGGGAUUUAUAUAGCGCUUUUCUAAGUACCCAAAGUCGCU